rnacentral:rRNA from 1 species
UACGUAGGGACCGAGCGUUGUCCGGAUUCAUUGGGCGUAAAGAGCUCGUAGGCGGCUGUUCAAGUCGAACGUGAAAACUCGGAGCUCAACUCCGAGCCUGCGUUCGAUACUGGACGGCUAGAGUCUGGUAGGGGGAUCUGGAAUUCCUGGUGUAGCGGUGAAAUGCGCAGAUAUCAGGAGGAACACCGGUGGCGAAGGCGGCCUUCUGGACAGUGACUGACGCUGAGACGCGAAAGCGUGGGGAGCAAACAGG